rnacentral:lncRNA from 1 species
GACUACCCAGGUGGCUAGCACCUACUUGGAUAAGAAUGUCCUGAGCUUCAAAUCUCUUCCCUGAUAAAAAGAGGGCUGCUGCUCUCAAGGAACUUCAGUCAAGGGGAGUGGGGGAAGACAGUCCCACACACAGACAAAAAACUAGGGGGUGAAAGGCCAAUGAGUGGUGGGAAGGAAAGGGAAAGAAGCUUCCAGAAGAAAAGACAGAAGCUGAUUGAGGUCCCAGCUUGGUAACAGUUUGAAGAGUUGCAGGACUGGCUGGAUGAGUACUGGCUGCAGCAAAUCAGGCUGCCAGGAUUCUUUAUGGCUGUUUCUGCUUCCACUACAGCUGAGUCAGAAAGGUCGCUGCCCCGUGGUGGCACUAGACGCAGUGGACCUGGCAAGCAAAUGUUUCCGCUAUUAGCUCUCAGCAACAGAGACUCAUUUAUGGUCACCUUGGAAAUCUGGGCUUAUCGAUCUACAGCCCAAGUCUGCUGAGAAGCUGGAGCUUACUAAAGGGGAAACCUGAGAGCUGUUCAAGCCCCAAAUAUUUUCCACUUCUGCGUCACCUCUGCUGUCUGUUAGCAGAGUGGAGGAGAAAAUACACAGCACAAACAACGUGAAAAAAUAGUUACUCUAUUCAUUAAAAGCUGUAACUUCCAGAUUGGACUUGAGAAGCAAUUAAGCAACAGAGGAACCUCAUCUACUAUCUGUAUUCAGGCAUGCUCAUGAGAACACGCUGCUCCAGCUGGACUUAGAGGAACCCGGUGCAUCACAGGCAUUCCUGACAGAGUCUCGUGGUCCUGCUGGUCCACUCAGUGGUACUCAGUCCUCCUCAUUCUCGGGGAUAGGUUCCAAGACCCCCAGGGGAUGCCUGAAACUGCGGAUGGUGAAAUGCCAUCACAUCCUUCAUACUCAUAUUUUUAGGACCAUAGGAGACCCAAUAUAUCUGUCUGUAUUGCAAUAAAUUACAAGGCUUUGACCAAAGACCCAGUUCCUAACUGACUGCUCUUGAAGCCAGCUCCACUGCAGAAUUAAGGAACAGAGAUGAGACUUGUCUGACAUGGGGAACUGUCACAGGAUAAUACCUUUGAAAAGCCUGGUUUUAGAACUUGCCUCUCUCAAUUUGAGGCAGUGUAUGUUUUUAAGUUUCUAAAAAUAAGAUAUUAUAAGAUUUGUAACAUUACAAUGACUGCCAAUGCAAAGAACCUCUGGGACUCUAGUGCAUCAGUGGAAUAUCAGCACAUUGAUGGACAUGUGGACUAUUUGGAUUCAGAAGACCUGGUUUGAGCUCAUCUCUGCUGCCAACUGUCUGUGUGACCUUAAGUAAAAUUAUCUCCUCUCUC